UGCCGCCUCGUCCGCAGCCCCUCUCGUUGCUGCUCGCGUUUAAGGAUUCGGAUUUGAUCUAGGGAUUCUUCACCGAUGUGGAUAAAAUGAAAAUGCUGUUAGCUGAUUGCUACAUUUCGGUAGGGGUAAAAAACAUAAAUAAAAUUUUAUAUACAUCAUAUAGUAUAUAUUCUCUUUUUCCCAAGGAAAGAAUUAUACUUUUGUUUGUGCUGUAUUUGCGAACUCUUAAUUUCUUGUUUCAAGAGUUUUUUACUUGAUACAACUUGUCUAUUCUCAUUGCUUAUUAUUUGAUUGAUCAGUAAUUUUUGAGUCUUAUCAUCUUAUUCCUAAUUUUGUUUGUUGGUGCAUCGUGUAAAUAUUCAAGCUUUUGGAUUGCUUAUUAGUAAUUAUUUGAUUGAUCAGUAAUUUUUUAGUCUUACCAUCGUUUGUUGUUGGUGCAUCCUGUAAAUAUUCAAGCAUUUGGUUUAAAUAUACAGUCAGAAAUAAUACAUCUAAUUGAAUGAUGCAUGGAUGGUUCUUUUGACCUAUUUUGCAAUAUACAUUCUUUGUUGAUGUGAUCUUUAUUUUCAUUAUGCAAUCAUACAAACCCUUUGGAUACUUUCACCAGUUUUGUAUCUUAAUUUCUUUGUUUUGUAUGUUGGUGAUGUUGAAAGAUUUUUUAGUAUAUAAAAAAAGUAAUUCUUUGUGUCAUUUUCUUUUCUUAAUAUCCAAAUCUUUUGUAUUUUAGACAGAGAACUUGUAUUAUGUUGAUACAUCUUUUAUUUGCUUGUCUUGGAACAAAGCUUCAUGAAUCAUGAGCCUUGCCAAUAAUUUAGCAAAUAUCACUACUGAUGAGAAAAUGAAAUUACUUGAUCUAUAUUAGUCCAGUUUUCCAUCCUUUUGGCUAUAUGAUUACAGCUUGUUGCCCAGAGAUGGCAGUUUCUCCUUUGAUUUCAGUUUAAUUGUUUUCAGGCACUACUGCUAAACUUAACCUUCUCAUCAUUUCGUCAGUUAACUCUUUAUUUGGCUAGAUUUUUUUUGGCAGUGUCUACAUGUAAUGUGCAACAUUUUCAAAAGGGUUCUAGUUGUGUGUUGUGUUUGUUUGGUGUGAGGUGGUUGUGUGGUGGAUUCUUCUGAGGUUGUAUUUUGAGAUGGAUGAAGCAUGAGACCGUACUAGUUGAGUUGCCGUAGGUUGCAGAUUUUUACUUUGUAGAAUUUUGACUAAUUCUUGUCCUGGUCAGAGUUGUGAUUGAGCAACAGCAACACUUAAAAGGUCAAAACGUACUUUGCGCUAAAACAGUGAAAGGAAGAAUGGAUUAUGCCUUGCAAAUCAAAUGUGAGCUGCUAAGCUGUAUCAGGUGGGUGAAUAUAUAGAUUCUGUAUCGCAAACGUACAAGGAAUAAACCUGUGAAUAUGUG
rnacentral:lncRNA from 1 species